rnacentral:siRNA from 1 species
CAAGCUUUUCUUGCAACACGU